GAGUUCGUGCAUUCAAGUGACUGCGAUGAGAAGAGCAGGAUAUUCCUCCCGGGUUUCACUAGAAGCAAAGCGUCCUGAGGCCUGGUGCCUUCAGUGCCUUCACAAAGACCCCCUUCUCUGCUUUAAGUGAAAGCUAGAGGAAUGAAGGGCACUUGGCCUGGGAGACCACCCAAGAACAGUGCUUCGUUCAUCACCCGGAGACAGUGGCCUGUUCAAAAGAGGAUUUCUCAACUUUAGAAGGAUGAUUCUGGCUGUGGUGUUGAGAAGAGACUCCAGCGAGGAUGGAAGUUGAGACAAACGUGGCAGCAAGAAGACCCUCUAAGGAGCUACGGCAAUAGAAGAAAAGGACCGAGGUCCUCUCGCCACCAAACUGAAGCUGAAACCUCAGACACUCAGUUCAUCAUUUGAAUGGUAUCAAGAAUAUGAGAUGGUGUGAGGAUGAUGGGAGAAAGGGCAUCUGUUGCUUGUUUUGGUUCCUCCUGAAUCCACAGUCAGUACUCAGUAGAGUAGCCAUGAUUUUAAUUAUUUUAAGAGGAAGAUUCACAAGGAUGUGCCCACAAAACACUGCCAAUUUGCAGCUGAAAAUGAUAACUGGAUUGAUAUUCCUCUUUGAGAUGCAAGCAGAUGCCUCCACCAACUAUCUCGAACCGGAAUGCCGCAGCCUCCCCUUCGUCCGCAUUUAUCCUUGGCAGGAGCACCGUCUAUUUUGGGAAGGUAUUCUGACACGUUACCUCUUGGCUGCAGUGGCUCCAAGAAUGUACUCAGUGAACGGAACAGCCCUCUUCCCCCAUGCGACAGGCAGCCCCAGCGUGUGCUGUGGCAGACGAAGCUGGCCCAAGAUCAGAGGAGCUAAUCGGCAUCGGGUUUAUUCCGGGGCUCAGGGAAGAUGCCUGAUCGCUUGGGAACAGCUUUUCUGGGGCUUUCUCUCCUGGUGGCCGGUCCUGUUGUGCAGAAGGGCUGGAGAGCUGUACGUGGGAAUUCACACCAGGGUCAUUCGAUGAACAUGUGUAUGUUUCCGAACUUCAUGUUUGGGCUCUUCUGAGGACGUUUCCGAAGGCGCAUUUUUUUUUCCUGGUGAUUCUGUGGGCUGCCUGCUCCUCGGGGAAAGCUGUUCUUCCUUGCUUGGGUUUGGGGGACGGGGAGGGAGAGGGUCUGCAGCUUCCCUCUCUGGAGAAGGUGGGGAUCAGGAUGAGGCAGCAUGUAGAGAGCAAAGGAAACAGCACAGGCCUAUGUGACAUGCAAACAAAUGUGUAUGGAAAUAAAAACUAAGGGAUUUCUAUGAAAUAGGGCCAAGGUUUAUUUUCCAUAUCUGGGCCAGAUCUGCAGGACAGAUCGCACCCAAUGAGAAUAAGUAAAAUUUGAAUAGAAUUAGUAGUGAGCGGGGUGCUUCAGUGGGAUUUCCUAAUGGAAUCCACUCCAGGGAUGGUGUUAUGGUCAUUUUCUGGUAUGCGGAAGUUCCGGGGAUGGAACAUGCGUGACAGCUGUGACCUAAGCCAAGGCUGUGACCAUGUUGAUCCUUAACCCACUGAGCCACCAGGGAACAACUCUGUGGUUAUUUUUUUCUAAACUAUUUAUUGAUUUUCUGGAAGUCCAUCUUCUCCAUAUUCUCAAACCCUAACCCCCCAGCAGCUAAGCACCCUUAGUAAGAGGAUAUGCCAGUGGGUGCUAGUGACAUUUACCAAAAAACCAAACAACAACAACAACAAAAACCCCAACAACCCAGAGUGUCUCAAAGGAGAAAAAGGAGAGAAGUCUACUCUGAAUGCUGUUUAUAGUAAAUAUUUUAAAAAUUACAGAGCAGCGGUUGUCAAGUUUUCUGAAGUAAAACUACAUUUGAUUUGUUUUCAGGCAUCCUAAGAAAGUCUUAACUUAUUCUUUCUGAAAUUUUCUUUAAUCUCUUUUUUGGGAUCGUGAAUCCCCCCCAACCCCAUCCCCAAAUGGUUUCUUGUUAAGUCAGUUGUUAGAAGCGGUACAAAUUCAGAAACCUCUCUGACAUUAUCCUGUGGGACGGUAAGUCUCACCACAACAUGUGUCGCGAGUAAGGAAAACUCUACCAGUUGUUGACAGUAAGGUCUACGUGAUCAAUCACCUUGGCAAAAACAAACAAACAAACCAACAAACCCCAACAAAAAGCGAGAACACCAACAAACUAGAAAUAAAUUAUUAUUAGACAGGUCACAUUUUUUUUGGAGUUAUCGAUCAAUUAGGACUGAUGAGAUUGCUGUGAAUCUUGGUUGGUGCCAGCAAGCCUGGAGGAGGAACCACAGAUUUCCCUACAUCUGGGAACCACGUAAAGCCCUCCAUGUCUUGACAGCUCCAAGAUUCCAAGAGAGAUCGAUUGCAAGAUUUAGGAAGAGGUGAUAGAGGAUCAGGACAUUUCCUAAGGAUAAGCGACCUGCUGGGAGGGAUUCACAGCAUUAACUCCAACCAAGUGUCAUCAACCCUCCGUUCCCAGGAAUUGCUCCAGACAACUCACCAUUUAUGCUAGACAUGUGUAUUGCUUUCCAUCCAGUUGUACUGGAGAAGGUGGAACAAUUGUUUCUGGACACUAGGUUCCAUAAUGUUAUUUUUUGUGCGUCUGAAGCCUUCUUUUAAUAGUGAGUACCUUUAGCAGGGAUGUUUCAUACGGUUAUAAGCCAUUGAGACUGGAAGAGUAGAACAGGAGACUGCUGUCUCCAGUCUGCUGACUGUGCUAACAGUUUCCAAGUUCUAAGCCACAUGCCUAGGGUGGCCAUCUAAAUCUGUAAUCUGGAAAAUCUUAGCACUCGAACCUAUGUUAGGCAACUUUUUGAAAAUUCUGUCAAAUUUUAGAAGAAGUAAAAGUAGUUGAAUUAAAAUAGAGGAAAAGAGAGUAAGAAUUAACUGCCCAGUAGUCUUCAUAAAACUAAUGUUAUUACUUUGCAAGCUCUUUGCAAUUAUACACGAAAGCCAGGCAACAUCUUCAAAAUUUCCCUCUUUUCUUGUCAUCAUUAAUGAUAUUCUCCAUUUGUUAUUCUUUUAAAGUGAAGCAUUUCCAAGUGAAUGAAUAGGAAUUCUUAUUAAGGAGAUAAACAGAGCAGUGUUGCAAAGAAGACAAUGCAGUUUCUGGAUGGGAUAAUCUGUUGUUACUUUAAUGACAAUACUUGCAGCUAAAUUGUUUGGAUUACUGCUCCACUGUAAAAUACAGUACAAUUUAUGUUUUUCUUCAUUUUGAGAGUUUAAACAAAGCAUAUUUUAAAUGAGAGCACGAAUUAUAUUCCAGCAUUUUCACCUUUAGAAUUCCCAUUUUGGUUUUCUUCUGAUUAAAUGCGAUCUCAAAAAAGAGAGUAUCUGAGUAUAAAAAGAAAUAGCCGGAACACAAUUACUUAAAAAUAUUCCACUUUGCAUUUCUAAUACAUUUCAGAAGGUGGAAUGAAUAUUUUAUGCAGAAUCCACUUUUGACUUGAAGAUGGCUUUAUAUUUAAAGGUCUCUACCCAAAUGUACUCUCAAAAAGAAUGUAUUCAGCUACCAUUGUUUUCAUGUCCAAGCUACUGUCAGAAAAAGGGAGUAUUUGGUGAUAUUUCAAGAGUAAUUUUUCCAUUUGUAGAAAAAAUAAAUUCGAAUCUUUAUGCUAAUGUGGUAUGCUCAGCUGACCUUUGAUUCUUCAUAUGGCUGAGUAAACAGAUGCCAUCAUUUUUAGGUUAUCAUGUGAAAGUGAAAGUGUGGUACCUCUAUCCAGACUCCAAAGGUGGGAAAAUCAGACUGUAAUGCUAUUUAUUGAACAUCAAGUCUAUGCUGUGGAUGCUCCUCAUAGCACCUUAGUGAGAACUAUGUAUACGUGUGAGUGGUGCAGAUAAAGGCGUCUUGGUAAAGCAGUGUUUGGCAUGGUGUACUGUCCCUGUGUGACUCAUUCUGCCCUGUCCC
rnacentral:lncRNA from 9 species